CCUACGGGGGGCAGCAGUGAGGAAUAUUGGUCAAUGGGCGCGAGCCUGAACCAGCCAAGUCGCGUGAGGGAUGAAGGUUCUAUGGAUCGUAAACCUCUUUUAUAAGGGAAUAAAGUGUGGGACGUGUCCUAUUUUGUAUGUACCUUAUGAAUAAGGAUCGGCUAACUCCGUGCCAGCAGCCGCGGUAAUACGGAGGAUCCGAGCGUUAUCCGGAUUUAUUGGGUUUAAAGGGUGCGUAGGCGGCCUUUUAAGUCAGCGGUGAAAGUCUGUUGCUCAACCAUAGUAUGGCCGUUGAAACUGGGGGGCUAGAGUAUGAGUGAGGCAGGCGGAAUGUGUGGUGUAGCGGUGAAAUGCGUAGAUAUCACGAAGAACCCCGAUUGCGAAGGCAGCCUGCCAGGCCAUGACUGACGCUGAUGCACGAAAGCGUGGGGAUCAAACAGGAUUAGAUACCCCAGUAGUC
rnacentral:rRNA from 1 species